rnacentral:rRNA from 1 species
CCUACGGGGGACAGCAGUGAGGAAUAUUGGUCAAUGGCCGGAAGGCUGAACCAGCCAAGCCGCGUGAGGGAGGAAGGCGCAGAGAGUCGCAGACCUCUUUUGACGGGGGAAAAAAGGCCGGACUCGUCCGGUCCUGAGGGUACCCGGAGAAAAAGCAUCGGCUAACUCCGUGAAAGACGCCGCGGUAAUACGGAGGAUGCGAGCGUUAUCCGGUUUCAUUGGGUUAAGAGGGUGCGCAGGCGGGCCUUUAAGCCUGCGGUGAAAGCGCGGGGCUCAACCCCGCCGCGCCGUCGGAACUGGGUGCCUUGAGUGCGACGGAGGCAUGCGGAAUGCGCGGUGUAGCGGUGAAAUGCAUAGAUAUCGCGCAGAACCCCGAUUGCGAAGGCAGCGUGCCGUGUCGCCACUGACGCUGAGGCACGAAAGCGCGGGGAUCGAACAGGAUUAGAUACCCUAGUAGUC